AUUGAACGCUGGCGGCAGGCCUAACACAUGCAAGUCGAGCGAGGGGCGGACGGGUGAGAAAUGCCUGGGAAUCUCCCAGACGGGGGGGAUAACAGUUGAACACGACUGCUAACAGCGCAUACGCCUAUAUCGCCCAGGGGGGAUUCGCUAGUUGGGUUGGUAAUGGCUCACCAAGGCGAAGCUCCCUAGCUGGUCUGAGAGGAUGAUCAGCCACACUGGAACUGAGACACGGUCCAGACUCCUACGGGAGGCAGCAGUGGGGAAUAUUGCACAAUGGGUGAAACCCUGACGGAGCCAUGCCGCGGGUGUGAAGAAGGCCUUCGGGUUGGAAAGCACUUUUAGCGGGGAGGCGUUACUCGCAGAAGAAGCACCGGCUAACUCCGUGCCAGCAGCCGCGGUAAUUC
rnacentral:rRNA from 1 species